CUUCGUGUUAGGUGGCAUUGUAACCAUUACAAUGCAGUAUUUGAGGCCAUGCCCUCAGGAACUUAUAGUAAGGGUGAGAAGAUGUAUGUAAAACUCUAUCGAUCCAAUGGAGCAAGAUUAUAGGUGAGCAAACUGACCUUUUUAAUGGGUCUGUGACUUGAAUCCAGGUCUGUCUGACUCUAAUCUGGGUUACCCCACCUGAACAUCCUCCUGGGAGGAAGCAGGGCAUGAAUCCGAAGGAAUUAGUGAAGUCCUUCCAUAGCCAUCCUUGAUGGUGGAGCGGGGGUGUGUCUCAGCAAAAAGGGCUGAAGUAUAAGGUGCUGGGACCAGUUGUCAGUAAAGGCAGUAUGAUUCAAUGAAUCAAUUAAAUCAGGAUGGAGAAGGGAAGCAAAAAGUCCAAGCCAGAUAAGUGGAACUACCCAUGAAACUGGAGGGUGUGGUGAACAAAAGCAAAAUGAUUAGUCACAAGGUCAGGAGCAAGUGGCCCCAGGAUGAAGAAAGGUAGCUAGAUGGAGGAUGGUUCUCCUCAUUCCGCAGAUGAUGAACUUGAAACCAGUGACAGUG
rnacentral:lncRNA from 1 species